rnacentral:lncRNA from 1 species
UACCCAAAGAUUUAGGGUUUAGAAUUUGAGUUUAGGGUUUAGUAUUAAAGCUUAGGGUUUAGUGUUUUGUUGACAACAUUUUUUAUUUUUUGAAUUCGUUUUUUAUAUAUUAUUUUUAUUUGUUUUUAAAUUUUAUUUUGAAAAAAUAAUAUAAUUUGCAAGUUAUUUGGUUUCCUUAAUUAAAAGAUACUAGAUUUAAAAUGACAAUUUUCUAUUGGUUGGUGAACCUAAAGGUUCAUCCUAGGGGGUGAACCUAAAGGUUCAUCCUAGGGGGUGAACCCAAGAAUAACUCAAAGAAAAAUGAAUGUCCUUCUCAGUUUUCUCCGACCAUAUAUAAAAUAUGAAAAGGUUAACUAAUGCUAUUUAUUUGUCACAUGGGGUAUUAAAUAUUGGGCUUAUUCGCCAUGUAACCAAAUUUAGAAGUAAAAUUAGGUAGAUAAAAUUGAUUUUGACAUAAUGAAAAAUCUAACAUUUACACCCAAAAUUAGUCGGUUAUACUCU